AGUGUUUUCUACCUGCUUCCUUGAAGGCCUUAUCCUUGUUGACUAUCUUUUUCCUCCCCAUAGGUGAGCUGGGAAUGUUGAAGCAGGUUGGAGUGGGAGGCAUUCCCUUCCUUCCAGCUGGAUGGCUCCGGCAAAGCUCUUCUGAAGGAGCUCUGGAGGAUGGGAAUGAAGAUGGCAGCCUCCCAAUCUCCAGCCUGAAGGAGCUGAGAUCUCAGGCCCCCUCUCCUCAGUGUGUCUCCCUGGUCUCCAGCUGCACAUGGAGCUCAUCCAGCAUGUGA
rnacentral:lncRNA from 1 species